rnacentral:ncRNA from 1 species
GUUCGGGAGCCCUCCGGUGGGACGGCGGGCGUGAAUGGGACCUGACCCCCUGUUUCGCAUGCGGCGCGCAAUCGUGACCCCGACGGUUG